CCACUGCAAAACCUUGUACUGCAAUCCUGUUGAAUCUCACAAGCCAAGCAGGGUUAGACCGAGUUGUAACUUGAAUGGGAGACCUCUAAAGAGAGAGUAGGGUUGAAAUGGU
rnacentral:rRNA from 1 species